AUUGAACGCUGGCGGCAGGCCUCACACAUGCAAGUCGAGCGAUCGGCGUACGGGUGAGUCAUGUCUGGGAAACUGCCUGAUGGAGGGGGCUAACUACUGGAAACGGUAGCUCCUACCGCAUACCAUCAGCUUUGCCCAGAUGUGAUUAGCUUGUAUGUGGGGUAACGGCUCACCUAGGGGACGAUCCCUAGCGGGUCUGAGAGUAGGACCAGUAACACUGGAAUGGAGACACGGUCAAAACGCCUACGGGAGGCAGAAGUGGGGAAGAGGGCACAAUGAGCGAAAGCCUGAUGCAGCCAUGCCGCGUGUGUGAAGAUGGCCUUCGGGUUGUAAAGCACUUUCAGCGGGGAGGCGUUACCCGCAGAAGAAGCACCGGCUAACGCCGUGCCAGCAGCCGCGGUAAUAC
rnacentral:rRNA from 1 species